CCCCUGAAUGAUGUAGGCUAUGGGGCCACAUAAGACUUUGUGCAUCCAGGGUUACAUAGCACGACAACUUUAAACUAAAGAACCCCCUGAAUGAUGUAGGCUAUGGGGCCACAUAAGACUUUGUGCAUCCAGGGUUACAUAGCAGGACAACUUUAAACUAAAAAGCUACCAGACUGGGAUUUUAGUGUACUCCAGGAUCUACCAAAUACUACUACGAAGUGUACAGUGCAUAAUAUAGUGUUUAGUGUAUAAUCUAACCUAAGGAUUAAGU